rnacentral:rRNA from 1 species
UACGGGGGGGGCAAGCGUUGUUCGGAAUUACUGGGCGUAAAGGGCUCGUAGGUGGCCAACUAAGUCGGACGUGAAAUCCCUCGGCUUAACCGAGGAACUGCGUCCGAUACUGGUUGGCUUGAGUUUGGGAGAGGGAUGCGGAAUUCCAGGUGUAGCGGUGAAAUGCGUAGAUAUCUGGAGGAACACCGGUGGCGAAGGCGGCAUCCUGGACCAACACUGACGCUGAGUGAGCGAAAGCCAGGGGAGCAAACGGG